AUCAACUUUCGAUUGGUAGGAUAGAGGCCUACCAUGGUGGUAACGGGUAACGGGGUGUUAGGGCACGACACCGGAGAGGGAGCCUGAGAAACGGCUACCACAUCCAAGGAUGGCAGCAGGCGCGCAAAUUACCCAAUCCCGACACGGGGAGGUAGUGACAAUAAAUAACAAUACGGGGUCCUUUCGGGUUUCGUAAUUGGAAUGAGUACAAUUUAAAUCUCUUAACGAGGAACAAUUGGAGGGCAAGUCUGGUGCCAGCAGCCGCGGUAAUUCCAGCUCCAAUAGCGGAUAUUAAAGUUGUUGCAGUUAAAAAGCUCGUAGUUGAAUUUCGGGAUCAGUACGCCGGUCGUGCUUCGGUAUGCACUGGUGUCACUGGUUCCUCCCUUCUGAAGAACCAUCAUGCCAUUCAGUUGGUGUGGCGGGGAAUCAGGACUGUUACUUUGAAAAAGUUAGAGUGUUUAAAGCAGGCUCGCGCUUGAAUACAUUAGCAUGGAAUAAUGAAAUAGGACGUUUGACCCUAUUUUGUUGGUUUCUAGGAUCGACGUAAUGAUUAAUAGGGAUAGUUGGGGGCAUUAGUAUUCAAUUGUCAGAGGUGAAAUUCUUGGAUUUAUUGAAGACUAACUACUGCGAAAGCAUUUGCCAAGGAUGUUUUCAUUAAUCAAGAACGAAAGUUAGGGGAUCGAAGACGAUCAGAUACCGUCGUAGUCUUAACCAUAAACUAUGCCGACUAGGGAUCGGAUGAUGUUAAUUUUUGAAUGACUCAUUCGGCGCCUUACGGGAAACCAAAGUGUUUGGGUUC
rnacentral:rRNA from 1 species